rnacentral:lncRNA from 1 species
CCAGCCCCCGCCCGCUGCCGGCACCUUCCCCGCAGCCCCUCGCCCUGCUCCCGCACCGCUCCCUGUUCCUCCCUCCUCCGCUCCCUUCUUUUCUCUCUCCUUCGCUCUUUUCUCUCUCUUUUCCUCUCCUUCACUCUCUUCUUUUUCUCGCUCCCUCUUUCUCUCUCUCCCUUUUCUCUCUCUUUCUCAUUGGCUCCCUUCUUUUUUCUCUUUCUCUUUCUUUUUCCCUCCUGUCUUUCUUGCUCUCUUUCUCUUUCCUCCUCCUCUUUCCUCUCUCGCGGGCUGCUUUUUGCUCCCAUCCAUCCUUCUUUCUCUUCCCCCCCCCACCCCCGCCAGCCGUUCCCCAGAGCGGGCAGGGCAUGGGGGGGGUUGGGGAGGGUGCACGUCCCCCACCCCAGCCUGUCCCGAUCGGGAGGAGACGGAAUUUCUCGCCAUAUUCCUGUGAUUUGCUGGUGCCUGCGGCGGGGCCCAACCUACAGGGGGCGCUAAUAACCAGCCCCCCCUCACAAAUAGCACCAUCCCUGCUACCCUCCCUCAGAGAGUCCUACCCAUGUGNUGUGUCCUAGGAAUGGGGGUUGGG